ensembl:lncRNA
AUGCUACCAGAGACUGGGCGGGGCCUGUGGCUACAAGAAAGAGAACGGUGGUGGCAGCACAGUGGGGUAUGUGCAACUACUCAGGGCAGUGUGACAUUCACCAGGGCCCCAGAAUCAGGGAAGCCAUCAGAAGGGAAACUUAAGAGUGGCCUUGUUCCUGAGACACAUGGGAAAUACCUCCUGGGGACUCCCAGAACCAAUCAAGAGGGAAUUUGCAGGAGACCAAGCAGGUGGAAACCAGAAUCAGGCCUGGGCCCGCAGUCCUCUUCAGCAUCUCCCUCACAGCACUGGAGCCAUCUGUUAACAGAAUGCACCCUUCCUGACCUGCGAGCUCUUACAGAGCAUGAAUAGAAGAGCAUAAUGGUUUGGUAUCUGACCUUUGGUGGCAGAGAAACCUAAGUUCACACCCUGAGUAGGCCCCUGGGGGCUGUGUGAUUUUUCUGGGAGAAUGAAAUUCGAUACCAUUUAUAAAAAUCUGGACUUACGGUAUAGCCAAUAUGUGGUAGCUGCUAUGAUUUUAUCUUCUGUAUACAAAUGAUAAUAGAUUUUAUCUGUUAGGAUUCAGUGGUGGAAACAAACUGCUUUACUUACAUUGAGUAGGAAGGGAUUUUGUCAUGGGAUAGGUGCUUGCAAAAUGGUUAGAAGAGCUGAAGGAGCAGGUUCUAGGAGGGGCUCACAAAGAAGUACAGAAAUGAACCACCAGGGCCCGGCGUGGGGGCUCACGCCUGUAAUCCCAGCACUUGGGGAGGCUGAGGUGGGCAGAUCUCCUGAGAUUGGGAGAUCAAGACCAGCCUGACCAACGUGGAGAAACCCCAUCUCUAUUAAAAGUACAAAAUUAGCCAGGCGUGAUGGCGCAUGCCUGUAAUCCCAGCUACUCAGGAGGCUGAGGCAAAAGAAUUGCUUGAACCCAGGAGGCGGAGGUUGUGGUGAGCUGAGAUCGCACCACUGCACUCUAGCCCGUGCAAUAGGAGCAAAACUGUGUCACAAAAAAAAAAAAAAAAAAAAACAAUGAAAGAAAUGAACCACCAGGGAAGUUGCCACCUCUCGGGCACCUCUGGAGCUGUGGUAGAAUCCAGAAGUGACUGCUGCCUCUGCUACAGUUCCUGCCUCUCAAUACCCAAGAAGCUGGAGAAUGGACUCUGGAGCUCUGAUACAGAAAAAUCUCACAUUUCCCCAGCCCUGCUGACCAGCAAAUGACUGCAAAGGAGUGCAGCUUCUGCCUUGCACGUCUUGCGCCGUGUGCCUCUACUUGGCAGAAGACAGCUUGCAUCCAGAGCCCUGACGGCAAAGGGGCCUGGGAAGUGUGGUGCUCAGCUCUCCAACUUCACCCAGCUAGAGGCGGGAAUGAAGGUUGGGUGACCGUCCACAGCACAGCUGUCCCUUUCAGCUGUCAUUGGCCACAGAGCACCACAGUUAGGGAAGUGCUCAUUUCACAAAUGAGGAAGCAGAGCCUACAGGAAGUUACCUUGUCCGUCCCAGGCAGGUCACAGAGGAAGGGGUGAAGAAGGAAUGUGAACAGGUUCUAUCUUAUUCUAAGCCUAUGCUCUGAACUCUCAUUUUAUCUAACCCUCCCUGCGUCUUGAAUGCCUAACCCAGCAUGUGGCUACACCCACUGAAUGAAUGUUAGAGGAGUUCAUUCAUCAUGAGUUUAAACAGAAAAUUAUAGCAACCUAGAAUGCUCUGACCUAUAGAAAGUGUCUUUACCUCCUGAGUGUGACCCAAGUCAGAAGGCAGGAGGCCGACUGACAGACACGGAGCAGUAUAGAAAUGAACACCAUAGCAGAGGUGUGCCCACUCACAGCGCGAGGCAGAGCUGUGUGCACACAUCGAGCAGGGAAAUGGGGCCAGAAUAUGGGGCAAAGGCCUAUGGAUAGGAUGGUGGAUUUGGAUGCGGGCCACCUCUUCCAGCUCCUGAAAGAGGACCAGACAAUGUGGCUAUAAAUGGGCCUAAUGAGAAUUGAUUGAUUCAUUCAAGAGAUGUUUUCUUUUUCCUUUUUCUUUUUCUUUCUAAAAUAGAAAAUGACAUACCCCAUGAUUCAUGCACUCUGGUGCCUGUGAUAAUGGCCUCUUCAGUACACUGACUCUGCUGAUAACCACAGACACUCGUCCUCUGCAGAGCUGUUGUGUACCACACCCUAGGCACAUAGUGACCCUGCAGGCUUUCAAACACGUGCUGCAGAAAGUGCUUUCCACACUGUCUCUGGGACACAGGCACAGUUCCCAGGAGUGUUGCCUGGAAUAGUGUUGCCUCUAAGGCCUGAGAAGUGAGCCCAGAGUGUAGGCCUGAGGGGCUGCAGU